rnacentral:rRNA from 1 species
AGUGAACGCUGGCGGUAGGCCUAACACAUGCAAGUCGAACGGCAGCACAGUAAGAGCUUGCUCUUACGGGUGGCGAGUGGCGGACGGGUGAGGAAUACAUCGGAAUCUACUUUUUCGUGGGGGAUAACGUAGGGAAACUUACGCUAAUACCGCAUACGACCUACGGGUGAAAGCAGGGGAUCUUCGGACCUUGCGCGAUUGAAUGAGCCGAUGUCGGAUUAGCUAGUUGGCGGGGUAAAGGCCCACCAAGGCGACGAUCCGUAGCUGGUCUGAGAGGAUGAUCAGCCACACUGGAACUGAGACACGGUCCAGACUCUUACGGGAGGCAGCAGUGGGGAAUAUUGGACAAUGGGCGCAAGCCUGAUCCAGCCAUACCGCGUGGGUGAAGAAGGCCUUCGGGUUGUAAAGCCCUUUUGUUGGGAAAGAAAAGCAGCAGGUUAAUACCCCGCUGUUCUGACGGUGCCCAAAGAAUAAGCACCGGCUAACUUCGUG